GACGAAUCGAGCGAACGUUGUUCGGAAUCACUGGGCUUAAAGGGCGCGUAGGCGGGCCGCCGCGUCCGGGGUGAAAUCCUCCCGCUCAACGGGAGAACGGCCUCGGAUACGGGCGAUCUGGAGGGGGGUAGGGGCGUGCGGAACUAACGGUGGAGCGGUGAAAUGCGUUGAUAUCGUUAGGAACUCCGGUGGCGAAGGCGGCACGCUGGACCCCACCUGACGCUGAGGCGCGAAAGCCAGGGGAGCGAACGGG
rnacentral:rRNA from 1 species